GAGGUCGACAUGCGAAUCAUAGCACUUCACCAUGAUCCUGACUUAUGGGGAGAUGAUGUUAAUCUUUUCAAGCCAGAGAGGUUUGCUGAAGGGAUAGCGAAAGCUACUAAGUACAAUGCAGCUGCAUUUAUGCCUUUUGGAUUGGGACCUCGAUCUUGCAUUGGCAUGAGCUUUGCAAUCACUGAAGCGAAAACUGCACUUUCCAUGAUUCUACAACGCUACACUGUCACCGUCUCCCCUACCUAUGUUCACGCACCUGCACCACGUCUUACACUCAAGCCACAACAUGAGAUGCAGUUGUUGUUUCAUUCACUACAUUAUGAUGCGUAAAAUUCUAGGUUGUUGGUCUCCAAUAUAGUAAUAUAUAAUAAAAUGUGGAUGAUACUGUAUUUUUCAACCAUAGAUGAUAUAUGGUUUGGGGAUUGGCAUAUAUAAUAACAAUAAAUAAAAGAAGAAUAUCAUAUUAUAAAAUUAAAAGAAAGGAUUAGCACGUGAAUGUAAUAUUUUUUCCACCAACAGUGAAUAUAGUUGCGGAUUCAAUGGCAACAUUAGGAAGAAAUGUUCCUAUUGGUUUAAAAAUUUAUAAUGUUCCCUCCAAGAUUAUCGGGAUGGAGAUUUUACAAGAUAGUAUUGGUGUUAAAUAUAAUUCCUAUUAUGAUUAAAUGUAUUUAGCUUCUUUGUUUAUCAAAAAGAAUUUAAAAAAAAAAAGAGACGAGUUUGAGUUGAGUUAAGUCUAGAUGACUGGAGCCUUAGCUUGACUUAUAAUAUAAGUAGACCCAAUUUUUUUUUGUUUAAACUCUUUUAAAUAUUAAAUCGACUUUUGAAUUUAAAUGGGUAAGCUGAAAUAUUACAAUAAUUUUUAUAUAUGCUAAAGUAAAUAUUAAAAAAUUAUUAUAUGGUUUACUCGCAAAAGCACAUUGCGUGAUUUACGAUAACGAACUUUUCCAAUAUUAGAUUAUUGCCAAACAUGUAAAUAAGUUCGAAAACAGGAAAAAAUAUGGGGAAAAUAAAAUAAAAUAGGUAAAAACCAGUUGUUAGUCCUUAUACUUGAACGAAGUUUAAGAUUUAGUCCCUAAUUUAAUAUUUAAUAAUAAAUUUAAAAUUUAAAUCAUCUCAAUUUAUUCAAUUUAAAAAUCCUAGUUUAGUUGUUGUCAUAGUUUCUUUUUUUUUGUCUUUCAAAAUUUGCCAUCAAUACAUCCAUGCAAAUCAUACUAACUUCUAAAGUAAUAUAUUAUGGUAUUAGAGUGGAUUUGGACGAGCAGUGCGUUUAUUUGCGGUUAUUGUAAAAAUAGUGAUGAUAAUAAAAUUAGAUACUAUAGUGUGAGACAAAAAGUAAGCUAAACGCACUGCAUCGUACCCCAUCAUCCAUUAAAAUUUUUUUAAACAAUUUUUCUAAUAUUAAAUUUGACACCUUAAUUCAAGUCCAUAUAAAUGAUUUUUUUUAAAAAUUAUCUCUCAUGUUUCUAUUAUAGAACAAUAAUGGCCAAAUAUGUUUUCAUUAUUGAAAAUAAAAUUUUAUUUCUAUUUGCCAAACAUAUUUUUAAUUUUUAAAAAUAAAAAAUGAAAAUUAUUUUCUAAAAAUGAAAAAUAGAAAAUAUUUUCAAAAGUCAAAAGGACCCUUAGUUUUUACUUUUUUAAGUAUAAAAAACGAAAAUCUUAAAUUUUACGGAAAUACAAGGACCAACUGUGUAUUUUGACCAAUCAAAAUUUUUUUUUAAAAAAAAGGAGAGUAAACCAUGAAGAAAUGUGAAUGACUUUUGAGAAAAUGUCAAAAUAAACCUCUAAAUUUCCUUUGUUUUUCAGUUUCUAAAAAUUUUUGCCUACCAACGUUUUGAAAAGGUUAUUAAUAUGGCAGUUUCACUCAUUGUUUCCCUAUAAAUUCCUGUCUGCUCAUCCUCCAAUUGCAUCAAACAAACACCCAAGUUUUCAUACACUUUCUUUUUGGUCUUUAAAACUUGACUGUUUUUCCAAAAAUGGGUUCCACAUUUGCUCAUCAAGGACUUGUUUUGGUGCUUGUUGCUGCUUCCAUGGUGGGAGUAAGCUUAGCAAACAAGGAAUGGAGGAGCUUGGGUUCCCAUCCUCAUCCUCAUCAUCCCCACAACCAUACCAAUGGCCACAAAAGAAUCAUAGUUGGGGGAUCCCAAAACUGGCAUUUUGGUGUCAACUACACUGAUUGGUCACGCAAAAAUGGUCCCUUCUACAUCAAUGAUACUCUAGGUAACUAAGACGAUCCCAAACUUUCUUAUUUCUCAAGUGUUUUUAGUUCAAUUUUGAUAUCGUUCCCUCUGCUAUACACAAAUUUUAUCUUUAGUCUUUAUAUUUUAAUUUUACAUAAUUUGGUCAUCUAUUUCUAUAAUAUUAGUAGAUAGUUCAAACAGUAUUCUUAACUAAUUCAAAUAAGAUGCUAACAUGGACUAUAAAAUACAGGGACUUUUCUAAAUUUGAGCAUAGCCAGGACCAAAAUCAUAAUUUGACCUUUUUCUAAAUUUUUGACAAUUUCUUUUGUAGUGUUGGGAGGGAUAUAUAUAUAUAUUUUAAAAUAACAUAUACUAUUUAAACUAAUUAAUGAUAUUAUAAAAAUAGAUGGAUCAAAUUCUAAAUUUGAGGGACCAAAACUAUAAUUUAACCCCUUUUUUCUUUACUAGCAUUGCUCAAUGUUUGUAAUUUUUGAGCAGUAUUCAAAUAUGAUCCACGAAGCAACACCACAUUUCCUCACAGCGUAUACUUGCUACCCCACUUAAAGAGCUUCCAGCUUCCUCAACCGCGACUUAAGAAAAGCUAAGAUGAUUGCCAACCCAACUCAGGGAAGUGGUAAUGGGUUCGAGUUCAUAUUGAAAAAGUGGAAGCCCUACUAUUUUGCUUGCGGUGAACGUAAUGGCUUCCAUUGCAAGGUUGGCCUCAUGAAAUUUGCCGUAGUAUCGCGGCUCUGUCGCUGCCAUUGAUGGAUCACUUAAGCCUUCAGGGAAGAUGCAGUGCCUGUGUUUUCUUUCAUUUCCAUUUUUGUUCACGACAACGUGUUGAAUGUUGAGCCUCUUUUUUUUUAAUAUUGUCCAAUAAGUUAGAGGUUUGAGACCUUAGGGUUAAAUUCUGGCCAUGUUAUUUUGUCUUUUUGCAGUAAUUUGUGAUUUCUUUUUUUACAAAGGAAUACCAUGUUUUGUGUUUUGUUAACAUCUUGUUUUGGUUUCAAGUUAUUUCGUUUGGGAUGUUUCAUUUGUGUCUUGCAACAUUCUUGACUUCACCCCAUGUAUGAGCUAACAUUGAUCUAAACGCUUGGAAUUGGGUCUAAUCGAAAAUGUCAAGACCAUCGACACUUAUUUUGAGCAAUGGUUAGAGCUUUCAUCAAGUUUGUAGAUAAUACAGAUUCAAACUCUUCCUCCUUUAUUAUUGUAUAGAUAAAAAAUAUUUAAAAUGACUCGCAAAUUUUUGAAGAUUGUGAGUUUGAGUGGAUUAAGGUAUUUAAUGUCCUCGGAUGAGUAUAAAUAUAAAUAAUUUAAGAUUUGAGGUUAAGAGUAAAUGAUAAAAUGAGUUUAUAUUGAGAAGUUAGUUCAACUACUCUAAUUUUUUAAAAUUUGAUUUGUUGUACUUUACGAGAAUUGAAUAAUUAGUCCAAUUGGAUGACAUUAUUAAACCUUGCCACUAAUGUGACAUAGAAAUCAACAAUUCAAUAAUUUAUAUAUAAAAAAUUAGCAAAAAUAAACAAUUCAACAAAAAUCAACUGUUUAAAUUCAUAUAUUUAUCAUCAAUCCAAUUAAUUUUUAUAAAGUGAAAAGUACAAAUAUUGAGAAAUUAAAGUCAAUACUAAAAUCCAAUGAGAGUCAAAAUUAAGAUAUUUCAAAAAAGAAAGUAGAUUAUAAAAUAUAUUGGUAUUUGUCUAAUAACAAAGUUAUACUAUAAUCAAAAGUACUUGUUUUUUGGGUCGAAUAUUAUAAUCAAAAAGUACUUAAACCAUGAGGUAAAGAAUGUUGAGAUUCACCUAACUUCUUUAAUUAAACCAUGAGGUAAAGAAUGUUGAGAUUCACCUAACUUCUUUAAUUCCCACCUUAAAGCCAAAAGCCAUUCAAUAAAAUAAAUAAAUAAAAAUCAACUGGAUUGACGGAUGAAAUUGAUUGAAUGAGAAAUUUUCAAGAUUAUAUCAAUUUAAUCAGAAGUAAUAUAAUAUACGGUUAUCUUUAUCUCUCGGUCUAAAUAAUAUUAUAUUUAGAUUGUAAAAUAGUUGAGGAUACUUGUGGUUAUAUAUCCCAAAAAAUUUAUCUUUGGUAAUAAUAUUGUUUAGCACAUUAUUGAAUAUGUUAUAAUAUUCUAUUAUUUGAUUUAUUUCGUUAGGAUCUAAGAUUACAUUUGGUUCAUUUGGUUGGAAUGUAACAAUCGUUCUUGUACUAUACUUUGUAUUGCAUUUUGGUCUCUCUAUUGGAAAAAUGAGUAAAUUGGUUCCUAUAUGUUAGAUGGAGAAAAAUAGUCCAUCCGUUAAAAUUGUGCUGUCAAAUGCUUAUUUUGGUGUUUUCGUAUAAGAUAUAAUAACAAAUUUAACUCUUAAUAUUUACAUCUUUAUACAAUUUGCCCCUACUCUUUUUAUUUGAAGCAAAUUGUCCUUCAAUCUUUCAUUUAUGAUGUGACUAUAUAUCAAUAAUUGAAGUAUAUAUCAGUUGUAUUUAUGUAUAAUAAACGUGUGCAUACCUUUGACUCGGUUACAUUUUGUAGCAAACCCAUCGUUAAUCAGCUUUAAUUUUAUAGGGUUUGAAUCGUAUUUAUUGAAAAGUAGAAGAAUGAUCAAAAUAGGCCUGGCAUCAUGACGAGCAGGUAGCGCUUGUCGAGACAACGCGAUGUAAAGCCUAGGCAAAUAUGGCAUUGACGUUGUGAUGAGGAGAGUCGGCACGUCACGACAUGCUCUCCUAUUUGGUAACUGUGUUUUAGACUUCAAUCAGAGUUGCUUCUUCUAGCUGGACUCUAAUUAUUUCAGAAAUAUUUUAGUAUGAUUAGAAUUCUAAUCUAAGUCUAUUUGAAUGGACCAUUGUAUCCCUGUUUUGACACGUCAGUUAAUAAGGGCUUUUCUUGAGGGCAGUAAGAUGUAGUCGUAGAUGAGUUUUGCUGCGAAUUUUCAUGGUAACUAUGGAGAAAAUUAUGUUUCCGAGUGAGGGCUUUGUUUUCGGGGUCUGGGUAAUGUACGUUUAGUAUAUUUAAGAUUAUUCUCUCCAUAUUGUACUUUCAUUUGUUUACUCAGUUAAUGAAAAGCCAAAGCCUCCUUUACCCGAGAUUUUUAUCUACUUCGGAGGAGUUUUUCACGUAAAAUAUUUGUGUGAUCAUUAUUCUCUAUUUUACUUAUUCAUUUAUACAGGUCAAUCUCCAACAAAUUUCUCUGUGUAAAUCUAAAUUCAAGCUUUAUAAGCUUAGUCAUCAAUUUCAUGAAACUCAUUGAUGAAAAAGAAAACACAAGAACAACGUUGAAUUUUAGUUCACAUUUUUCAUUUUUUUUUAAAUUUUAUUAUUUUGUGAUUACUUAGGUAUGUAUAAUUCGAUCUUAAAUUAUUUUUAAAAUUUUUUUAGAUGCAAGUUACUUAAGCUUUUAUUUGGUUACCAAUUAAAAUUUAAACAAAAAAUAUUACCGUAAGUUUUAUUUGGACAAAGUGAUAAAGUAACGUGGGUAAAAAUAAUUAUGUACUAUAUUUAAUUAAAAUUGACUUGAAAAUUAAAUAAUACUUUAGUUGAAAUGGUUAAAGUUGAAAGAAAAAUGUUAUGAUAUCUGGGGAGCUUGAUAGCAUAACCUUUUGUAAAAUUGAAGUUUAAGUUACAUUUCAAUUAGAGACUGUAUAAUCCCCGUCAAUUGGGACCUUAAGUUGCAAUGUGAUCCAGUUUUUCGGGUGAUGACUCCAUGCUUACACGCCAGAUGAAAUUCGUAGGUCAUCCAAAUCUACAACACCACCGUAGAUUCAAACAUACCUUAAAACUGUAACAAUGUCUAUCUUAAACACAGGAAAAAAUAAAUCUACAAACUUCUAAUUUCAAACCGUAAGAAAAAAAAUUUAGCAAAGUGAAAACACAUCUCGUUUUUAUGAAAGAAAAGAAAACGCAUUCUACAAGGCGCGUUUUCUUUACCAGAUAAAUACUGUAAAUAGGAAAUUUUAAUAAAAAAAAUCUAGUUUCUCCAUUGAUAAUUUUUUUCAACAUAUUUAGAUAAUUUUGCCCUAUUAGUUGUCUUAUGAAAUCAAGCUAUUCUUCCCAAAUGGAUUUGGAAAUAUGGGCAAUUUUAUUAAUCUAACUCAAAAAAUUUUGAUAUUUACAAAAAUGACUCGGGUUUAAAAACAAUCACUAAAAUGACCUGAAAUGAACAGUAGAAUGGGGUUUUGGAAACUCAAUGGCCGGCACUACCUAGUGUUUUGGCCCGAUGAUUGCCUGAUGAUUGUGUUAGGCUUUAAAAAAUUCUUUUUUUUUUACUUUGGGAACCCAAUGGCCGACACUAGCGUUUUUUUUUUUAAAAUCGUAUCAUAUUGGUAUACAAAAAUAUCAGUAUUUAAAAAAAAUUAGGUGCAUGCCAUGUAAUGACUGGCAUCAGAGAUGUAAAAAUAAAAUAAAAUUUAGGUGUUGGCCAGUAGAUGGCCGGCACCAGGUACCUUUUUCGUGUCCCAAUGCAAUUUUUUUUUACUUUGGUACACUGAUGGCCGACACCAGAUGUAAAAAAAAAAUUUGAGUGCUAGCCAGAGAUGUAUUUUUUUUUGUGUGUGUUGGCCAAUAGAUGGCCGGCACUAGGUACUUUUUUCGAUCCCCAAUGCAAAUUUUUUUAACUUUGGGACAAUGAUGACAAGCACCAAUGACAUUUAAAAAAAUAAAUUGGUGCUGGGUAGUUGAUGGCUGACACCAAAUUUAUCAUAUGUAUAUAGGUGUUUUUACUUCUAUUUGAGCUUUUUUUUUUACUUUUUCUUUGCUUUAUUAGUUGAAAAUAUAGAUUAAAAAUAUUAUUUUUUUCUUUGUUGAGAAGGAAGCAAAAAAAAUUUAAGAUGAGUUCCCAAAUUUUGUUUGUUUAUGUUUAUUUUGAUGGAGAAAUGAUAAAUACAACUGAAGAAGGGUGUGUAUUUCAAAGUCGGAGUAAAAUAGGAAUGAGAUUCAACAAGCGUGUUUCGCUAGCGGAUUUAAAACGAAAAAUUAAUACAAAGAUAGCAACCCGUUGCGAAAAGCAAAUGUUGAGACUGUUUUACAAAUUUUCGGUUUCAACUGAUCUACUCAAGUUCUCAAAAAUGGAGCUUCAAGAUGAUGAUGAUCUAGUGACAAUGAUAGCACUUUAUUGCCCCCCUGAGAUAGAAAAUCCCAGCCCGGUUGAGUUUUUCGCCGAGAUAGCUGAACCGGAUCCCAUUUAAGUUGUAAUUCCAGCAAGCCAACACUUUGGAAUUAAUUUUAAUCUUAAUGUCUCCUAGGAAGAUCAGUUGGAUUUUAGACGGUCAAUGGCAACUCCUGAAAAUCCAAACACCGGAGGAUGUUCGUAUAACAUCCCAAACUCGUGUACUCGUCUAGAGAUCCAUCUAGAGGUGUUGGCCACCAUAGAAGAUGGUGAUGAAGGGUCUAAUAAUGAUGAUCAGUCACAUUGUGAUCCCAACGAUGAUUUCAGUGACCCCGAUUUGGAUGACAUCCCUGAAGGCAUAGAUGAAGAAGGGUUGGUAGAGGGUGAAAAUACAAACCCCCACUUGGCUGGGAACACGGGCCCUGGUAUAGUUAUAAGAAAUAAUCCAAGGUCCUUCAUGACCGAUAUGGAUCCUGAUGCAGCUCUUGUAUGCGAGUUCCUGGAAUAUACAAACAUUGUACCGGAUAACCUACUUGGUGGUGAAUUCGGUGAUGAACAAUUUUUUGUAAGAUAACAAUUCGAUAACAAAAAAGACUGUUUACAUGCUAUAAAACAACUUAGCUUAAAGUUAGGUGUGAAUUAUAAAGUAAUGAAGUCGACGUGGUUUUUGUACAUAAGAGAAUGUUGGAAAGCGUCAAGUGGUUGUAACUGGCGUGAUUGAGCCGCGUUAAUGUAGCAGACACAGAUGUGGAUGAUAAGUAAACUAGAAGGUCCACACACAUGCAUGUUUGCUCGUAUGUCGCAAGACCAUAGAAAGUUAGAUGCAAAAACUAUAUACAACUACUUCAUCCCUUUGGUGAAAAAGUCGCCCACCAUCCAGGUGUCGGUACUUAUUGCGGACAUGCAAGCUUGAUUCAAGUAUAAAGUUUCAUACUGAAAUGCAUGGUGGGAAAAGAAAAUGACGAUGUGAGAGUUGUAUGGUGACUGGGAUGUGUCAUAUAACGAGCUUCAAGGGUGGAUAGUCGGGAUGCAGGAGUAUGUGCUUGGGACAGUGACUGAUUUUGAAAAUAUUACUGUAUAAAGGCGCGGACGGAAAGAUUCAAUCAGGGAAAUGAGUUUUUCACCUACUGUUUUAGACGUUCAAGCCGUGUGCUAGGGUCUUCCUUCACUGCAAGUCGAUGGUGCAGAUGGACGGGACAUUGUUGUAUGGAAAAUACACACAAAUACUCCUGAUUGCUUUCACCCUCACUGCAAAUACAAGCAUCCGAAAUGUACUUCCGAUCGCUUUCGCCAUUGUGGAGCGUGAGUGCUUUGGGUCUUGCGAAUUUUUCCUCAAAAAUAUGCUGAAACACAUUGUCAGAGAAGAUAACAUUUACCUUAUAUCAGAUAGAUCAAAAGGAUUACUUGCUGUGAUAAGGCGAUCGGGGGUUCCGUGGAGGUCUGUUUAUCACAUCCAACACAUAGCGACAAACUUCCACAAAGAUUAGAAGAAUAAAGAUUGGAAAAAAGAACUCUUGAACAUGGGUAAAAAGUUUUUGUUUGUAUUUAUUGCAAGAAUUACUUUUCAAAAAUUUCCAGCCUGUAAUUUUUUAAAAUGAUGAUUUCAAAUUAAAUAUGCAGCUCAUGAGUUAGAACAAUGAAGAUUCAGGCAGAGGUUCACGAGGCUUGAAGCUUAGAUGUCAUCUUUACCAAUAAAUCUUCGGACAUAGUUGGGCAGCAUGGAGAACUAGCAAUGGACUCAAAAGUUACGAUGAGGGGUUUCGGUAUGGGCAGAUGACGACCAACCGGUAGAGGCGGUGAACUCUAUAUUGAGGUGCACACGUCAUCUGUCGAUUUAUGUUGUUUUUGAUGACGUCACGAACUAACUAAAAUACGAUAAAGACAAGCGCACCUAUCGAAUGGUAGUAUAGCUACGGUGAGUUAAGAAUAUCGUAUCCACGAGGACUAAAAGUACUAGUAAUUACUAUCUUUUUAUUAUCUAGCCUAUAAAUUGAAGGGUUGUUUUUAAUCUAAAAUUAAACUAAACUAAUUACUAAGCGACAAAGAGCAAAUUGGAAAAAUAAUUGAAGAAAACUUAUGAGAGAGACAAUACCCAGGAAAGAAUCCACCUAGACUUCACUUAUUAUUCUAAAUAUGAAUUAAACGAUUUAUUCAUUUGACUUGAUCUGUAGAAAUCCCUAAAUUAUAUUAAUAUCUCUUUUGAGAAUAAAAAAAAACUGACUCUAAGUUGAUUAAUUAAAGUCUCUUUCUAAUUAAAACCCCUAUCAUCACAUUAACUCGAUCUAUGGAUUUUCCUAUUAGAUUUGACUCUAAUCCGGUAGAUUUAUGUCGUCCUAUUUCUAGGGUUGCAUUCAACUCCACUCAAUUAUGCGAGAUCUACUCUUAAACAGAGACUUUUGCUCCACUGAAUAAGCACAUCAAUCAUGAAUUAAUAUCCUGAAACAUUAAAAACAUGAAAUAAGAACACAUAAUUGAGAUCAAGAAUAAAUAUUUAUCAUGUAAUUCAGAAUAAAUCAAAUAAUAAGAUCCGUCUUAGGUUUCAUCUUCCCUAGGUAUUUAGGGAAUUUAGUUCAUACUGUAUGAGGAAAACAUAUCAAAAAUAGGAAAACAACAAAACAUAAAGAAACCUAAAAACUUCAAGAGAAAUUGAAUAGAAAUCUUCAGUCUUGAAGGAGAUCCUGCUUCUGAGUUGAACGUGUUUGCAUUCUUCGAGUCUUUUCAGCAUUCUACUCUGGAUCUCCCCUUAGGUCCUCUUCUAGUGUGUAUUUAUAAACUUUAGAAUGCUCAGAAACCCCCAAAAUUGGCUUUUUCCGUACGUGUUUUGGAAACAGGGAGCGAUAUUGACACGGGCAGGCACAUGGGCGUGUGGCCAGCCCAUGUGGGAUUGGCUUGGCCGUAUGGAUCUUAAGACAACCUAUUUUGUCCGAUUUUGGCCCGUUUUCCUCUCUUGUUGCUCCCUUAUGCUCACCUAAGUAUAUAAACAUGAAAUUAAAGGAUUAGGAGCAUCAAAUUUACUAAUUUAUGUAAUAAAUCAUCCAAAAACAUGCCAAGCAUAGGAUUAAAACAUGUUACAUUUAUGUUUUAUCAGUUUUCUUGGCAACAUUCUAUAGGUUGGCCACAUUGAUGCCUAGGGUAGGAUUGAAACAAACUAAGUAGAUUGAGGCCGGGCACGUGAACGUUGAGGGCGUCCAAAAGGCCAUGACGGUAAAUAGUCGAAGGGCACAAACAAUGAACGUAGAAUUGUAUUCGCGCGACUUAGAGAAUUUCCAAGUUCAAGAGUACAUCGAUCGUCGUUCGGGUCUUCCACCUAGGUCGUACGCAGUUAAUCUGUGAAACAUGAUAUGCGAGUGCGAGAUCUUUCAGACUUUUCGAUAUCCGUAUGCACAUGUUCAUGCAGCGUGUGCGAGAGCAAAUUUAAAUGUUGAACAAUUCAUAGACGAGAUCUACACGUUGCAACGUACAUUGCGUAUAUGGGGGAACGAAUUUCCUGUAAUGCCCGAUGUCUUAAACUGGGAAGUUCCACCGCCUGCUUUCGAGAUGGUACCUGACCAUAGUCUCCGUAGACAUCCUAAAGGUCGACCACAAUUGGCGAGAAUUUGAAAUUAUAUGGAUGUCAGGGAGACGGGCGAACCCAAAUUGUGCAUUGCGUGUCGAUCAUUCGGACACAAUCGAUCAACAUGCCCACAUCGUGUCUAUGUUUCUGGUCAAUCGUCUCGUAAUGUCGGACUCGAAGAUGACGAAUGAUAAAUUAUUGAGCGCAUGUUCUUGAAAAAACAUUGUAAAAAUAUGAAAAAUUAGAUAAAUGAUAUACUUUAUUCAAAUUAUACACUUGAUUAAAUAUAAUACAAUAUACAUACAUAUUUAAUUUAAAAGACAUUAAAAUGAAAUAAAUAUAACAAUGAGAGAAAAAUUAAUAUGAAAAAAAUGUAAAUUAAAAUGGAAAGAAAGAUAAUUUAAAUGAAAUGAGAAAAAAAAAAUUUAAAUGAAAUGAGAAAAAAAUUAAAUUUAAAUUAAAAUAAAGAUAAUUUAAAUAAAAUGAGGAAAAUAUUAAAUUUAAAUGGAAAAAAAUAAUAUAAAUGAAAUGAGAAAAAAAUUAAAUUAAAAUGAAAUGAGAGAUAAAUUAAAUGAAAUGAGAAAAAAAUUUUAAAUUUAAAUGAAAUGAGAAAAAAAUUAAAUUUAAAUGGAAAAAAUAAUAUAAAUAAAAUGAGAAAAAAAUAAAUUAAAAUGGGAAGAUAGAUAAAUUAAAUGAAAUGAGGAAAAAAAUUAAAUUUAAAUGGAAAAAAUAUAAUUUAAAUGAAAUGGAAAUGAAAAUGAAAUGAAAAUUGAAAUGAAAUGAAAUAGAAUUGAAAUUGAAAUGAAAUGAAAAAAAAAGGUGAUAUGACAUUUUAGGCAGCCCGUGCCAGCCUUAGAAAUGGGCUAGCAUUGGCAGGCACUAGAGGAAUAAAUAAAUAAAAAAGUGAAAUGACAGGUCUGAUAAAUGGCCUGGCAUUGACUGACACCAGCACGAAAAAAAUUUAAAUGAGAAUUGUUUUUUAAAGCGAAAUAGCCUAAAUUUUAUAAUGGAAUGAUAUUUAAAUUGACAAAAAAUUUAAAUAAAAUAUAAAAAAAUUUAAAUAACCCUGAUUAAUAUGAAAAAAUAUAAAUGAAUUGAAAAAAGAUGAACUGAAAUGAGACUACUUGUGAUUAAUAUAAAAAAAAUUGUAUGUUAGAAAAAAAUAAAUUUAAAUGAAAAAAAUUAAUAAAAUAAAAUGUUAAAUGAAAUAUGAAUAUGAAAUGAAAUGUAAUUUAUAAUGAAUAUGAAACGAAAUGAAAUGAAAUGGUGAUUAUGAAAUUGAAUAAAAGUUUAAAUGAAAAUAAAUUAUAAAUUUAAAUGAAAAAAAUGAAAUAAAAAAUUGAAAUGAUAAAUAAAUAAAUUAAAAUGGAAAAUAUAAAUUUAAAUGAAUUGAAAUGUAAAUUAAAUUUGAAAUUCAAAUAUAAAUAAAAAAAUCUCUUGACAUGAUAUGACAUUACAUGGCUAACACACAAUUUUUUUUUUUUUACAUUUUUGGUGCCAAGCAUCAAUGUACUAAAAUAAAAAAAAAUUGUGAGACACGAAAAAAAUAUCUGCUGCAGGUCAUCUACUGACCGGCACCCAAAUAUAUUUUUUUUUACAUCUCCGGUGCUGCCCAUCUACUGGCCAGAACCAAUAUUUUUUUUUACAUCUCUGGUGAUAGCCAUUAUACAUAACCAGUACCCAAUUUUUUUUUAUAUCAAUGGCCAACACUCAAUUUUUUAUUUUUUUUACAUCUUUGGUGCAGACCAUGCCAAAUUUUUUUUUAACAUCUCUGGUGCUGGCCAUCAGUGUCCAAAGUAAAAAAAAUUUGCAUUGAGACACGAAAAAGGUACCUCGUGUCGGCAAUGUACUGCUCAGCACCCAAAUUUUUUUUACGUCUCUAGUGCCCGCCAUUACCCAAUUUUUUUAAAUACUAGUAUUUUUAUAUUCUAGUAUUAUACGAUUUAAAAAAAAUACCCUAGUGUAGGCCAUUGGGUUCCCAAAGUCUAAAAAAUCAAUUUUUUAAAGCCUGACACAAUCAUCAGGCAAUAAUGGGGCCAAAACACUAGGUAGUGUCGACCAUUGGGUUCCCAAAACCCGAUUCUAUUGUUCAUUUCAGGUCAUUUUGGUAAUUAUUUUUAAACCUGGGUCAUUUUUAUAAAUAUUAAAAUUUUUUAGGUUAGAUUGAUAAAAUAGCCGGAAAUAUGCCAUUGAUGCCAACUCUUUCUUACGCAAAAUAGUCAUUUCAAAAUAUGGAGUUAAUCUUUAAGUGGCUACUAAGAUAGAUGAAAAAGUUAAAAUUUUGUUAAUUUUGCUGACGUAAUAUAUAUGUGAAAGUUCAUAUAUAUAUCAAUUUCUUAAAAAUUAUAUAUUUUUAAUUUUUAACUUUUUUAAAUUUUUUUAAAUUAUUUUUUUUAAAACUUUUUAUAUUUAAAAAAUUAAUUGAUCGUUAAUGUAAGAAUCUAUAGUCAACAAAGUUAACAAAUGUCAACUCUUUCAUCCAUUUUUAGGAGAUUUAACAAGUAGUAGAAGUUUAAAGUUAAAAGAAGUGGAAAAUUAAAUGAAGAGCUAAAAUGACUUUUUUGUAAAGUUAGAGAGUUAAAUAAGCUAUUUUAUUUUAUGUAAAAAUAAAAUUAAUUACUAGUUUAUUAAUUAUUAUGUUCAAGACAAAAAUAUUUAUAACUAAUAAAAGAUUAAUUACUAGUAAUUAAUUUAAAUAGUCCUUAAAAAUAUAAAAAUAAUAAAAAUAAAUUUUUUUCAAAUUUUAUUCUUUUUAAAAAAAUAAUAAACUCAAAAAACUAUAUGAGGAAAAUUCUUAAAAGAUAUAUUUGGAUAAUUUAAAUAAGAAAUUUUUAUAUUUUAUUAUUUUUAAAAAGAUUUAUUUUUUCUUAAAUUUUUAAAGACUACUUAAAUUUAAUUUCAAAUAGGGCAUGCUUAAUAUGCAAAUAGACAUUUAAUUGGUGUCCAAAAGGAAUGGCGUCACUCUUAUUUUUCAUUUAGUUUAAGAAUGAUAAUUACUUUAUUGGGUGUCUAAGCAUUUUAUAUAAUUAUCUUUUAAUUCAGUGUCCUCGAUGACGACAACUACACUCAAAAAAAUUAUUAUUUUUUUAAAAUUAGAGGUGGUGACACCAAUAACAAUGAUAUCACCGACAUUUACUAUUCAAAAACGGAUCAUUUACAUACAUAAUUUUCAAAAUAAGUUAUUUUUAUAAAUAAUUAAAAGUUUUGAAUAUUUUUAAUAAAAAAACUUAAGUUUGAUGAAUGGCGUCAGUCAUGAUGUAGGUCUACUUAGUACAAAAACGACGGCUUGAUUUUGUUGGCCUAAAGGAAAGUACCUUUUGGGUUUUGCUUUGCCCAAAUGCUAGAAAAGUCUUUGCAUACAUUUGUUUGAUUGCAAAAGUGAGAAAUAGAUGAAUAUAGUAGGGAAAAAUUCUACCUAUUUUACCAAUUUAACUUAAAAAAAUUGAUAUUUAUAAAAAUAAUCCAGGUUCAAAAAAUUUACUAAAAUAAUUUAAAAUAAAUAGUAAAAUUAGGUUAUGGGAAAUAGAUGGCCGGCAUUACUUUUUUCUAUUAAAAAAUAAUUUUUUGGAUUUUAGACAUUAGAUGGUCGGCACCAUGUAUUUUUUUUAAAUUUUGGGGGCGCUGGUACACUAAUAACCGGCAACCCUUUUAUUUGAUUAAAAAAAUAAUUUUUUUUGAAAUAGUGGUACCGGCCAACAGAAGCCCAAAAUCACUGAACAAAAAAAUUGGUAAUAUUGCAACAUAUCCCCUCCUUGUUUUUAUAUCUUUUUUAUUUCCCAAGUUUAAUUACAUAUUUUAUAUUUUAAAACAAUAUUGAACUACUUAUCAUGUUUUUUAAUUAUUAUUGCAUCAUUCAUAAUAUUUUAUAAAAUAUGUAGUUCAAUAUAUUUUAAAUUAAUUUUUAAAUUUAAUAAUAACGUGAGUGAUGUAAUAAUAAUUAAAAAACAUGAUAAUUAGUUAAAAUAUUGUUUUAAAAUAUAAAAUAUAUAAUUAAACUUAGGAAAUAAAAAAGAUAUGGAAACAAGGAGGGGUUAUGUUGCAAUAUUACUAUUUUUUUUGUUGGAUGAUUUUGGGCUUGUGUUAGCCGGCACCAUCAUCUCCAAAAAAAUUAUUUUUUUAAUCAGAUAAAAAGAGUAUUGGCCAUCAAUGUAUUAGCACUUAAAAAAAAUUUGAAAAAAAAAUACAUAGUGCUGGCCAUUUAGUGCCCAAAACCCAAAAAUUAUUUUUUUAAUAAAAAAAAUGUGAUGCCGACCAUCUAUUUCCCAUAAUCUAAUUUUAUUUUUUAUUUCAAAUCUUUUUAGUAUGUUUUUGAACCUAGGUUAUUUUUAUAAAUAUCAAAUUUUAUCAGGUUAAAUUAAUAAAAAUUCUAGACAUUACUAUAUCACCUAUAAAAUUUAGUUAUCUUUUUAAUUUCUUUGGCGUAUUAUAGAAAAACAAUUUUAGAGUAAAUUUCUAACCACACCGCAAUUAACACGAUUUGAAUCAAAUCAUAUCUUAGUCAAGAGACAAAAUCCUGUUAUUGAGGGCCCUAGUAGCAGGUAUUUAAUAAUAACUAGAAGUCAAAUCCUGCACGCUUCCCAGUUCUGUGUAUUGCAUUGGCUGUAAUUUUCAAAGAAAAAUAUACUAAAUAAAUGAGAGAAAAUGACCUAACCUUGAAGAGGGACAAGUGUAGUCUCUUGAUGCGAAAUGUGUUUGACUGCCAGCUUGCAAAACCCAGAUUAAUAUAACAGAUGCAAAAUCUGAUCAGUGAAGAUAAGAAAAUGGAGACCAUGGGAAAUCUUCUAAUCCUGUUUGCAGCUUCUUUAUGCCUCUACCUCUUCGUUGCUUUGCUCAAUGUUUUCUACAAGUAUUGGUGGAUACCUCAUCGGGUACAGUUCAUCAUGAAUUCACAAGGAAUCAGAGGACCUCCUUAUGAAUUUAUCCAUGGAAACAACAAAGAAAUUGCCCAAAUGUUCAUGGAAGCAUCUAUCAAACCUAUGGCCUUGACACACGAUAUAUUUCCCAGAGUCAUGCCUCAUGUUUACUCCUGGAUCAACAAAUACGGUGAGAAUAUGUUUUUUUUUCUUUUUUGGGUAGUAUUUUCUGAUUAACCUCCACUUUCCAUGAAGAGAAAUCAUUUUUCUUUCAGGGAAGACUUAUCUUAGUUGGAAUGGAAUUCGAGCUCGACUGCUAAUUACAGACCCAGAACUGGUCAAAGAGGUCCUUAAAAACAGUGAAAAAGCUUUUCGAAAGACAAAGGCUUCAUAUUUCUUCGAUAAGCUAAUAGGCGACGGGCUUGCUUCAACCGAACGUGAGAAAUGGGCAAGGCUAAGGAAACUGGCCAAUUAUGCCUUUCAUGGGGAGAGCUUAAAAGUAAAUCAUCUCUACCUUCUAAUCUAAUUAUUGUAGUGGGACAUUUACAAACUUGAUACUUUUUUGCAGACUAUGACUCCAGCUGUAGUUGCUAGCGUUGAAACCAUGCUUGAGAAAUGGAAAAGUAAGGAGGGCAAAGAGAUAGAAGUGUUCCAAGAGUUCAGAUUAUUGACUUCAGAAGUGAUAUCCAGAACCGCCUUUGGUAGCAGUUACUUGGAAGGGGAGAAGAUUUUUGACAUGUUGACGAAGUUGUCAGUAAUUACAGGCAGAAAUAUUUUUAAAGCAAAGAUUCCCAUCAUCAGGUAACUUCAUCAAAUCUUUACUUUGUUAAUCAACAUACUGCAGCUGCCAAUGGGUUGAUUUAAUCUGGUUGUCCUUUUCAGCAAGUUUUGGAAAUCUGCUGAUGAAAUUGAAUCAGAAAGAAUUGCCAAAAUGAUACAUGAUUCUGUGAUGAGCAUUGUUGAAAAAAGGGAAAAGAGGGUAGUGACCGGAGAAGCUGAUAAUUUCGGCUGUGAUUUUCUGGGAUUACUUGUUAAUGCUUAUCAUGAGGCGGACGAGAAAAACAGACUUUCGAUACAAGAUUUAGUAGAUGAGUGUAAAACUUUUUAUUUUGCUGGGCAAGAAACAGUCAAUUCCUUGCUUGCAUGGGCAACCCUGCUUUUAGCAAUACACACCGAUUGGCAAGACAGAGCAAGAACAGAGGUGAUUGAGGUCUUUGGUAAUCAAAACCCAAAUUUUGAAGGGAUGGCCAAAUUAAAAACGGUAAGCAAACUAUACAAAUUCAAAAGCUUGAAACUAACAGUGACCAUUUAUAUUGCCUUUUGGAUUUCUUUUUCUCCAACAGAUUACCAUGAUUAUCAAUGAAACUUUACGGCUCUAUCCUCCUAUAAGUGGCGUGAUAAGAGAAGUAGGAAGAGAAGUCCAAUUAGGAAAACUUGUCCUGCCUACACAUUCAGAGGUCGACAUGCGAAUCAUAGCACUUCACCAUGAUCCUGACUUAUGGGGAGAUGAUGUUAAUCUUUUCAAGCCAGAGAGGUUUGCUGAAGGGAUAGCGAAAGCUACUAAGUACAAUGCAGCUGCAUUUAUGCCUUUUGGAUUGGGACCUCGAUCUUGCGUUGGCAUGAGCUUUGCAAUCACUGAAGCGAAAACUGCACUUUCCAUGAUUCUGCAACGCUACACUUUCACCGUCUCCCCUACUUAUGUUCACGCACCUGCACCACGUCUUACACUCAAGCCACAACAUGGGAUGCAGUUGUUGUUUCAUUCACUACAUUAUGAUGCUUAAAAUUCUAGGUUGUUGGUCCCCAAUAUAGUAAUAUAUAGUAAAAUGUGGAUGAUACUGUACUUUGCAACCAUUCGAUGAUAUAUGGUUUGGGGAUUUCAUGUUUUGG
rnacentral:lncRNA from 1 species